rnacentral:rRNA from 1 species
AACGAACGCUGGCGGCAUGCCUAACACAUGCAAGUCGAACGAGACCUUCGGGUCUAGUGGCGCACGGGUGCGUAACGCGUGGGAACCUGCCCUUAGGUUCGGAAUAACUCCCCGAAAGGGGUGCUAAUACCGGAUAAUGUCUUCGGACCAAAGAUUUAUCGCCUUUGGAUGGGCCCGCGUUGGAUUAGCUAGUUGGUAGGGUAAAAGCCUACCAAGGCGACGAUCCAUAGCUGGUCUGAGAGGAUGAUCAGCCACACUGGGACUGAGACACGGCCCAGACUCCUACGGGAGGCGGGAGUGGGGAAUAGUGGACAAUGGGCGAAAGGCUGAUCCAGCAAUGCCGCGUGAGUGAUGAAGGCCUUAGGGUUGUAAAGCUCUUGUACCCGGGAUGAUAAUGACAGUACCGGGAGAAUAAGCUCCGGCUAACUCCGUG